rnacentral:snRNA from 1 species
AUACUUACCUGGCAGGAGAGACACCAUGAUCACGAAGGUGGUUUUCCCAGGGCGAGGUUCAUCCAUUGCACUCUGAAUGUGUUGACCCCUGCGAUCUCCCCAAACGUGGGAAACUCAACUACAUAAUUUGUGGUAGUGAGGGACUGUGUUUGCCUGA